UACGGAAGGCAGCAGUGGGGAAUAUUGCACAAUGGGCGCAAGCCUGAUGCAGCCAUGCCGCGUGUAUGAAGAAGGCCUUCGGGUUGUAAAGUACUUUCAGUCGUGAGGAAGGUGUUAAGGUUAAUAACCUUAGCAAUUGACGUUAGCGACAGAAGAAGCACCGGCUAACUCCGUGCCAGCAGCCGCGGUAAUACGGAGGGUGCGAGCGUUAAUCGGAAUUACUGGGCGUAAAGGGCACGCAGGCGGUUAAUUAAGUUGGAUGUGAAAUCCCCGGGCUUAACCUGGGAAUGGCAUUCAAGACUGGUUAGCUAGAGUCUUGUAGAGGGGGUAGAAUUCCAUGUGUAGCGGUGAAAUGCGUAGAGAUGUGGAGGAAUACCGGUGGCGAAGGCGGCCCCUGGACAAAGGCUGACGCUCAUGUGCGAAAGCGUGGGGAGCAAACG
rnacentral:rRNA from 1 species